AUCCAUGGUUUGCAAUUUUUGAAUCCUUUCCGACAAAGAUGCAAGUUGAAGUAGGCUCUAACAUCAGACCAAACCGCUAUUGCAUAAGGAUAAAAUAGCAAUGCAUGUUCUAUGUGCCCAUCUGUAGAACAAUGGACACAAACCUUAGAAGCAGGGAUAUGUCGCCGGUGAAGUUGCAUUUCUCAAGGCAAGCAAUCAUGAGCGAAUCUCCAAAUAGUUAUCAACAUCUUCCCCGGAGCCUUGAUUGCCCAAAUUUUGUUCCAUGAAAUAGUUUCACAUUGUAGAUU
rnacentral:lncRNA from 1 species